AUUGAACGCUGGCGGCAGGCCUAACACAUGCAAGUCGAACGGUAGCACAGAGAGCUUGCUCUCGGGUGACGAGUGGCGGACGGGUGAGUAACGUCUGAGAAACUGCGCGAUGGAGGGGGAUAACUACUGGAAACGGUAGCUAAUACCGCAUAACGUCGCAAGACCAAAGUGGGGGACCUUAGGGCCUCACACCAUCGGAUGUGCCCAGAUGGGAUUAGCUAGUAGGUGGGGUAAUGGCUCACCUAGGCGACGAUCCCUAGCUGGUCUGAGAGGAUGACCAGCCACACUGGAACUGAGACACGGUCCAGACUCCUACGGGAGGCAGCAGUGGGGAAUAUUGCACAAUGGGCGCAAGCCUGAUGCAGCCAUGCCGCGUGUAUGAAGAAGGCCUUCGGGUUGUAAAGUACUUUCAGCGGGGAGGAAGGCGGUGAAGUUAAUAACUUCACCGAUUGACGUUACCCGCAGAAGAAGCACCGGCUAACUCCGUGCCAGCAGCCGCUGUAAUAC
rnacentral:rRNA from 1 species